rnacentral:rRNA from 1 species
GCAGUCGAACGAUGAAGACCGGUGCUUGCACUGGUUGGAUUAGUGGCGAACGGGUGAGUAAUACGUGAGUAACCUGCCUUUGACUCUGGGAUAAGCCUUGGAAACGAGGUCUAAUACCGGAUAUGACACAGUUUCGCAUGAAAUCUGUGUGGAAAGGGUUUGUACUGGUUUUAGAUGGGCUCACGGCCUAUCAGCUUGUUGGUGAGGUAAUGGCUCACCAAGGCGACGACGGGUAGCCGGCCUGAGAGGGUGACCGGCCACACUGGGACUGAGACACGGCCCAGACUCCUACGGGAGGCAGCAGUGGGGAAUAUUGCACAAUGGGCGCAAGCCUGAUGCAGCGACGCCGCGUGAGGGAUGACGGCCUUCGGGUUGUAAACCUCUUUCAGCAGGGGAGAAGCGAAAGUGACGGUACCUGCAGAAGAAGCGCCGGCUAACUACGUGCCAGCAGCCGCGGUAAUACGUAGGGCGCGAGCGUUGUCCGGAAUUAUUGGGCGUAAAGAGCUUGUAGGCGGUUUGUCGCGUCUGCUGUGAAAGCCCGGGGCUUAACUCCGGGUUUGCAGUGGGUACGGGCUAACUAGAGUGCAGUAGGGGAGACUGGAAUUCCUGGUGUAGCGGUGGAAUGCGCAGAUAUCAGGAGGAACACCGAUGGCGAAGGCAGGUCUCUGGGCUGUAACUGACGCUGAGAAGCGAAAGCAUGGGGAGCGAACAGGAUUAGAUACCCUGGUAGUCCAUGCCGUAAACGUUGGGCACUAGGUGUGGGGGACAUUCCACGUUUUCCGCGCCGUAGCUAACGCAUUAAGUGCCCCGCCUGGGGAGUA